rnacentral:rRNA from 1 species
UACGGGAGGCAGCAGUGGGGAAUAUUGCACAAUGGGCGCAAGCCUGAUGCAGCCAUGCCGCGUGUAUGAAGAAGGCCUUCGGGUUGUAAAGUACUUUCAGUCGUGAGGAAGGUGUUAAGGUUAAUAACCUUAGCAAUUGACGUUAGCGACAGAAGAAGCACCGGCUAACUCCGUGCCAGCAGCCGCGGUAAUACGGAGGGUGCGAGCGUUAAUCGGAAUUACUGGGCGUAAAGGGCACGCAGGCGGUUAAUUAAGUUGGAUGUGAAUCCCCGGGCUUAACCUGGGAAUGGCAUUCAAGACUGGUUAGCUAGAGUCUUGUAGAGGGGGUAGAAUUCCAUGUGUAGCGGUGAAAUGCGUAGAGAUGUGGAGGAAUACCGGUGGCGAAGGCGGCCCCUGGGACAAGACUGACGCUCAUGUGCGAAAGCGUGGGGAGCAAACGAGGAUUAGAUACC